UUUAAACCACAGGGGAGCAAAGUGAGAAACUAAGAAACCACGGGGGGGUUUUUGAAGUUUUUCCUAAAAAUUACGAGCAAUGUUGCAUCUACAAUCUACUUUUGAUUGUAGAUCUUACAACUGGUCCAUCCAAGAACUAGUUUUUACUUGCUUAUCACAUUAUUUUUUUUAAUUACUAAAACUCAAUUUUAAUUUAUUAUACCACAAAGGUUAGAUGAGAGUCGUAACCCUCCCAAGCAACCCCUGUAUUGUACACUUAGUUUUGAUAGAUUCUUGAGAAAUAUCCAAGUUUAAAAAUUUUCUAUUUUAAUUGGAAGUUAGGAGUGUAAUUUUGGCUCCUUAUAAAAUAUUGACAUUCAUAAUUUAGUACGAUUAUAUAUUUAAAAUUUAUUUUAUUGUCAGAAAAUAAAUUUUAAAUAAAAAACUAUUUUAGGUAUUUCAUUAUUUGUUUUAUCUGCGAAAUAUUAUAAUUUUUUGAGCAAAAAUAUGUCGAAUAGAAUAUUCAUGUAUUAAAAUAGACUUUUAAUAUCUUUAAAUUUACUAAAAAAAACUACAGCUAAAGUAGAAACAUCUGGAUGAUAGAUAUUCUACUUAUACGUAUCAAUCUCUAGACAGAACAGAUUAUACAGAUACCUUUCAGUUUCGAAAUCGUGAUUAUGUAAAUGUUGGCGAACAAUAUUUUAGCAAAAAAAGUUAUUCUCUUUAUUAGUUCUAAUCAAAGACAAUUAAAAAAUUUUACAUUAAAUGAAAAUUAAAGUUAAAUUUUAUUUUUAGUUUUUGUAAUAAUCUAUUUUUCUAUAUCUCUAUAUCUAUGUAUUAUUUCUUCUAAAUUUGCCACAUGAUAACAUUCUCUUUAUUGUUGAAUGUGGGCUCCGCCUCGAACCUGUUCAAAUCUUUUUUCUUUUUUUGCUUAAACUAGACCUAUCAUAUUUGAGUGUGAGCUUUGCUGAACCGGCUCAAGCCUUUCACAUUUGUUCUCUUUUUUUUAUUUGAACCGAAUAUGGUUUCUUUCUUUUUUUGUUUGAACCGAACCAGGUCAACCUGUUGCAUUGGCCCAAAUCAACCUAACUGCUCCACAUGGUUUCAUCUUUGAUUUGAAUUUUUUUUGCUUGAACCGAAUCGAUCACUAUCUAGUGUAGGCUCCACAUCGAACCGGCUUAACUUUUUCUCUUUCUUUGCUUAAAUCAAACCGAAUUUUAUUUUACUUGAAUUAAAUCGGAUCUUCAGCUGUUACUUUCGUGCAUCCGCAAAAUUAAUCUCGCUCCCAUCUUUCAUCAUCUUUAUUUUUAUUUUUUUUUAAUUAUCUAUCCAUCUUAUCUUACGGAUUAUUACACUUAUUUUUUAGGGCUUUUUUUGAAAAUGACCCUGUAGAAUUUUGUAAUUGGCAAAAUGACCCUCUGAAAAUUUUAUUUGUAAAACUAAUCCUCCUUUUGCUACGUCGGCGCCACCUCAGAUUUUUCUCGCGAAGACGGUGAAUCGUUCACCGUCUUUGCAUAUAUCUCAUGAAGGCAGUGAAUGGUUCACCGCCUUAUGAAGGCGGUGAAUGGUUCACCGCCUUACCGCCUUAUGAAGGCGGUGAGCCAUUCACCGCCUUUAGAGCAAAACCGCUCCCCCGCUUUCCUUAGAAGGCCACCUUUCCAACUGUCCUGUGCCCUCGAGAAGACGGUAAAUGAUUUACCGUCUUAACUAAGACGGUGAAUCAUUCACCGUCUUUAUUGUAAACCCUCCAUCCAAGCCAAAUUUGGCCAAGUCCUGGAGGCGGGGCUAAAACAGAGAUAAGACGGUGAAUAGUUCACCGUCUUAUUAGUGCUGCACUAAAGACGGUGAACUAUUCACCAUCUUUAGUGUAAACACCCAGGCCUAGGAAAGACGGUGAAUCGCUCACCGUCUUCACACUUAAUGAAGACGGUGAACGAUUCACCGUCUUAUCUAGGUAUACCCAGCCCCAGACCCCGACACCUCUCCCUCCCUCUUCGCUCUCUUUCUCUCUCUAUCUCUCUGUCUCUAUCUCCCUUUCUGCCCAUUCCUCUCCAGGAGCCGCACCUCGGUCGCCGCUGCCCUCGCUCGCCGCCGCCCCUGCCGACGUCGCCGCCGCCGGUCGCCGUCGACCCACCGAGCCGCCGCCCAUGCCACAACAACCCACAUUACAACGUUGGAGCUAUUGCCGACAUGGCUGAUUGCCCUUUGGGUUGCCGGUAUGACAAUUAAAUAUGAUACAUAUUACAUUUCUAUAUAUACAUUUGCAACUAGCAUACUUUUCAAAUAUUAGGUGGACGAACGCCGGCGGGUUACGUUUUGGGGCAAAUGUUAGGACGACAGAUAUUGAGUUCUAUAAAGAUGAGUUAGAUCAGCAGCGAGCGUCUCAGAUGCUAUUAUACAUGUGCUACCGGCAUUCUGUGUACAGGGUAGUGAGGUUUGGCGAUCGAGGACGACACUGAUUUGCUUUCAUAUUGUUGAGCUUCACGUGCCCGAUCGAGUCCUACGGCAGUUUGGUCUCCUCCAGCAUAUACCAAUUCACGUGGAGACCAUCCGUCGCAUCACAUCUCAGGGGCGGCCAGAUGAGGAUUGGGUCCAGUUUCAUGCUGCACACAUCGAGAGAUGGGAAUAGAGAUUACAGGCUAUUAUUGACCAGCAUCCGAUUGUCGGUGAUGACCCGGUACAGACAACAUCUAUUUAUAUGGAGUGGUAUUGGCAAAUCACAAGAAGAUGGAUUUCUCGUCCAGUACAGCGUCCACCAUUGACUUACCAGCCUCGCGGCCAGACCGAGAGAGAUUUGGUGGACGCAUUACGACAGGCUCAAUGGGCAUCAGAGGGCUAGUUCAUGAUCGACCUUCUUACGAUGCGAUGAUGGAGACAUUGACGAGCAUGGAUGUCCAUAUUGAGUCAGUACUGGAGUACAUUCCUUCCAUACCUGUCGCCGCUGAUGUUGGAGGUUGAGAUUUUGAUCAACCCUCGACAUCGGGUCAUCACAGGAGACACUCACCGACAUCGACUGGAUCAUACUCGAGAUCGAGCUUACGAGUGUCACGAUCUCCAUCUCCUAGUGAUGUUACAGAUAUGCUCAUCGCCCCUUCAAGAUUUCCUUCCUUGCCAUUGGAUUUGGACUCGCUUCCGCCGCUAGUCUCUCGAGAGCACUUUAGAUUAGUCUACUCUCGACGUCAUGCCGCGUCAUCAUCACAGGCCCGCCCAGCAUCUACACCGGCCACUAUCGAGGGUGAUCGACCUGAGCCAGAGGAGACUGAGGCGAUUCCGGAGCAUCCCGAGGGCAUUAUCAUUGCGGAUCUCGAUCAGAUGGCCGGUAUCGAGGCACUUGAUGACGUACCUAUUGCUGAGCUCGAUGUACAGUGUGGCCGUAGACGUGGACGUGGCCGUGGCCGAGGACGUGACUGAGGACGUCGAGGGAGAGGAAGAUCGAGAGACUGAUUGUAUAUUUUUGAUUUAGAGAGCAUACUUUGUAUAAUAUUAUAUAAUACUUUAUUUAGUUCAUAUUUGUAUAUUUGUCUGUGUUUUGUUUGAUAUUUUUAUCCGGUUGAUUGUAUCUUGUUAUUCCA